GACAGAGGGUGCAAACGUUGUUCGGAAUUACUGGGCGUAAAGCGCGUGUAGGCGGCCCGGUAAGUCCGCUGUGAAAGUCGGGGGCUCAACCCUCGGAUGCCGGUGGAUACUGUCGGGCUCGAGUACGGAAGAGGCGAGUGGAAUUCCUGGUGUAGCGGUGAAAUGCGCAGAUAUCAGGAGGAACACCAAUUGCGAAGGCAGCUCGCUGGGACGUUACUGACGCUGAGACGCGAAGGCGUGGGGAGCAAACAGG
rnacentral:rRNA from 1 species